rnacentral:rRNA from 1 species
CAAUAGCGUAUAUUAAAGUUGUUGCAGUUAAAAGCUCGUAGUUGGAUUUCUGGUUGGAGCGACCGGUCGGGCAUUGAUUUGUCUGCACUGGAGUCGGUUCUGGCCAUCCUCUUGGAAAGUGCGUCUGUCAUUAAGUUGUCGGGCGUAUGAUCCAGGUCUUUUACUGUGAAAAAUUAGAGUGUUUAAAGCAGGCCUUCGCCUUGAAUACAUUAGCAUGGAAUAAUAAGAUAGGACUUUGGUCUAUUUUGUUGGUUUGCAGACCGAAGUAAUGAUUAAUAGGGAUAGUUGGGUGAUUAUUAUUCAAUCAGUCAGAGGUGAAAUUCUUAGAUUUUUGGAAAGAUAAACUUAUUGCGAAAGCAUUUACCAAGGAUGUUUUCAUUAAUCAAGAACGAAAGUUAGGGAGUCGAAGAUGAUUAGAUACCA